UUAAAGAUUACGACUUGUUACAAUCAUGUGACAUUUUUUUCUUUCUGUUUGCUGAGUUUUUGAUAAUUUAUAUAUCUCAAAGUGGAGACUUUGAAAAAGACUCAUCCGUGUGCCGUGUUCACUGCCUGGUAUCUUAGUGUGGACCGAAGCCUAAGGACCCUGAAAACAGCUGCAGAUGAAGAUGGCAAGCACCCGCUGCAAGCUGGCCAGGUACCUGGAGGACCUGGAGGAUGUGGACUUGAAGAAAUUUAAGAUGCACUUAGAGGACUAUCCUCCCCAGAAGGGCUGCAUCCCCCUCCCGAGGGGUCAGACAGAGAAGGCAGACCAUGUGGAUCUAGCCACGCUAAUGAUCGACUUCAAUGGAGAGGAGAAGGCGUGGGCCAUGGCCGUGUGGAUCUUCGCUGCAAUCAACAGGAGAGACCUUUAUGAGAAAGCAAAAAGAGAUGAGCCGAAGUGGGGUUCAGAUAAUGCAUGUGUUUCUAAUCCCACUGUGAUAUGCCAGGAAGACAGCAUUGAAGAGGAGUGGAUGGGUUUACUGGAGUACCUUUCGAGAAUCUCUAUUUGUAAAAUGAAGAAAGAUUACCGUAAGAAGUACAGAAAGUACGUGAGAAGCAGAUUCCAGUGCAUCGAAGACAGGAAUGCCCGUCUGGGUGAGAGUGUGAGCCUCAACAAGCGCUACACACGACUGCGCCUCAUCAAGGAGCACCGGAGCCAGCAGGAGAGGGAGCAGGAGCUUCUGGCCAUUGGCAAGACCAAGGCGUGUGAGAGCCCCGUGAGUCCCAUUAAGAUGGAGAUGCUGUUUGACCCCGAUGAUGAGCAUUCUGAGCCUGUGCACACCGUGGUGUUCCAGGGAGCGGCAGGGAUUGGGAAAACAAUCCUGGCCAGGAAGAUUAUGUUGGACUGGGCGUCGGGGACACUCUACCAAGACAGGUUUGACUAUCUGUUCUAUAUCCACUGUCGGGAGGUGAGCCUUGUGACACAGAGGAGCCUGGGGGACCUGAUCAUGAGCUGCUGCCCCGACCCAAACCCACCCAUCCACAAGAUCGUGAGAAAACCCUCCAGAAUCCUCUUCCUCAUGGACGGCUUCGACGAGCUGCAAGGUGCCUUUGACGAGCACAUAGGACCGCUCUGCACUGACUGGCAGAAGGCCGAGCGGGGAGACAUUCUCCUGAGCAGUCUCAUCAGAAAGAAGCUGCUUCCCGAGGCCUCUCUGCUCAUCACCACGAGACCUGUGGCCCUGGAGAAACUGCAGCACUUGCUGGACCAUCCUCGGCAUGUGGAGAUCCUGGGUUUCUCUGAGGCCAAAAGGAAAGAGUACUUCUUCAAGUACUUCUCUGAUGAGGCCCAAGCCAGGGCAGCCUUCAGUCUGAUUCAGCAGAACGAGGUCCUCUUCACCAUGUGCUUCAUCCCCCUGGUCUGCUGGAUUGUGUGCACUGGACUGAAACAGCAGAUGGAGAGUGGCAAGAGCCUUGCCCAGACAUCCAAGACCACCACCGCGGUGUACGUCUUCUUCCUUUCCAGUUUGCUGCAGCCCCGGGGAGGGAGCCAGGAGCACCGCCUCUGCGCCCACCUCUGGGGGCUCUGCUCUUUGGCUGCAGAUGGAAUCUGGAACCAGAAAAUCCUGUUUGAGGAGUCCGACCUCAGGAAUCAUGGGCUGCAGAAGGCAGAUGUGUCUGCUUUCCUGAGGAUGAACCUGUUCCAAAAGGAAGUGGACUGCGAGAAGUUCUACAGCUUCAUCCACAUGACUUUCCAGGAGUUCUUCGCCGCCAUGUACUACCUGCUGGAAGAGGAAAAGGAAGGAAGGACGAACGUUCCAGGGAGUCGUUUGAAGCUUCCCAGCCGAGAUGUGACAGUCCUUCUGGAAAACUAUGGCAAAUUCGAAAAGGGGUAUUUGAUUUUUGUUGUACGUUUCCUCUUUGGCCUGGUGAACCAGGAGAGGACCUCCUACUUGGAGAAGAAAUUAAGUUGCAAGAUCUCUCAGCAAAUCAGGCUGGAGCUGCUGAAAUGGAUUGAAGUGAAAGCCAAAGCCAAGAAGCUGCAGAUCCAGCCCAGCCAGCUGGAAUUGUUCUACUGUUUGUACGAGAUGCAGGAGGAGGACUUCGUGCAAAGGGCCAUGGACUACUUCCCCAAGAUCGAGAUCAAUCUCUCCACCAGAAUGGACCACGUGGUUUCUUCCUUUUGCAUUGAGAACUGUCAUCGGGUGGAGUCACUGUCCCUGGGGUUUCUCCAUAACAUGCCCAAGGAGGAAGAGGAGGAGGAAAAGGAAGGCCGACACCCUGAUAUGGUGCAGUGUGUCCUCCCAGGCUCCUCUCAUGCUGCCUGUUCUCAUGGGUAAGGAAACUCGGCUUCCAGGUGCUUCCUCCUGCUUCCUCGCCAGCUUCUUCUUGGCGCUUGCCUCCUCUCAUCUCUUUUCAGCUAUCUUCCAAAUACAGUUGCCACAGCUACAUCGUAAUGCCACCACUGUCUGUUUGAGACUCCUUCAUGAGCAAAGAUUGAUGUAUGGUAGGUGGAUAAAUGGGAUGAG
rnacentral:sRNA from 1 species